rnacentral:ncRNA from 1 species
CUCCGAUAAUGGCAAACCUGGUGAAAAUCAGGGACGCAAAGCCACGGGUCUAAGGCAUUUUGCUAUGACAGCCGGGUUGCCGAA